rnacentral:rRNA from 1 species
AGGGCUGUAGCAAUAUGGCCCCUAGAGUGGCGAACGGGUGAGUAACACGUAGGUGAUCUACCUCUGGAUGGGGGAUAGCCCGUGGAAACACGGGGUAAUACCGCAUGAGGCCUUGUGGGUAAAGCCAUGAGGUGAAAGGUGCAAUUGCAUCGUCUGGGGAUGAGCCUGCGGUCCAUUAGGUAGUUGGCGGGGUAAAGGCCCACCAAGCCGACGAUGGAUAGCCGGCCUGAGAGGGUGGACGGCCACACUGGAACUGAGACACGGUCCAGACUCCUACGGGAGGCAGCAGCUAAGAAUCUUCCGCAAUGGGGGAAACCCUGACGGAGCGACGCCGCGUGGAUGAUGAAGGCCGUAAGGUUGUAAAAUCCUUUCGUCGGUGAAGAAUAAGGAAGGGAGUGGAAAGCCCUUCUGAUGACGUUAGCCGAUGAAUAAGCCCCGGCUAAUUACGUGCCAGCAGCCGCGGUAAUACGUAUGGGGCAAGCGUUGUUCGGAUUUAUUGGGCGUAAAGGGCGUGUAGGCGGCUCAUCAAGUCUGGUGUGAAAUCGCAGGGCCUAACCCUGCAUAUGCGCUGGAAACUGGUGGGCUUGAGUUCUUGAGGGGAAGCUGGAAUUCCAGGUGUAGGGGUGAAAUCUGUAGAUAUCUGGAAGAACACCGGUGGCGAAGGCGAGCUUCUAUCAGAGGACUGACGCUGAGGCGCGAAAGCGUGGGGAGCAAACAGGAUUAGAUACCCUGGUAGUCC